ensembl:lncRNA
CUGAGACACUACAGGGUGUGAUCUGAGACACUACGGGGUGUGAGGUAGGUGAGAGUGUGUGUUAGGUGAGAGUGUGUGAUCUGAAACACUACGGGGUGUGUGUUAGGUGAGAGUGUGUGAUCUGAGACACUGCAGGUUGUGUGUUAGAUGAGAGCGUGUGAUCUGAGAAACUACAGGGUGUGUGUUAGGUGAGUGUGUGUGAUCUGAGACAUUACAAAGUGUCUGUUAGGUGAGAGUGUGUGAUCUGAGACACUACAGGGUAUUUGUUAGGUGAGAGUGUGUGUUGGUGAGAGUGUGUGAUCUGAGACACUAUGGUGUGUGUUAGGUGAGAGUGUGUGUUCUGAGACACUACAGGGUGUGUGUUAUUUGAGUGUGUGUGAUCUGAGACACUACAGGGUGUGUGUUAGGUGAGAGUGUGUGUUCUGAGACACUACAGGGUGUGUGUUAGGUGAGAGUGUGUGAUCUGAGACACUACGGGUGUGUGUUAGGUGAGAGUGUGUGAUCUGAGAUACUACGGGGUGUGUGUUCGGUCAGAGUGUGUGAACUGAAAGAACUGAUUCUGGAUCAGCUAUAUGGAGUUCCUCCACCGUCACACAGCUCAUUCACUAUCAGGUUCCUGUUCUCCACUCCACUUUCACAACAUUCAGAGGAUUGAGGUAAAUUGUUAUUGAAGUGAGUUCUUUAGCCCUAAUCUUCUAUUUUAAUGAAAUAGAAUUGAAGCAGGAACUGAUUACUCAAUAAUUCUGUAACUUGAUAACCCUAUAACUAAAGAAGUCAAUCACUAGAUAUGGUAUAUAUCUAUA